CGACCAAUGUGCGUUGCAAAGUGGUAUUGAAGUACUAUAUUCAAACAUUGGCUAAGGGGUCACAUCCAACUCAUGGUGACUUUUCAUGUUGAUUGAGGGUUAAAAUACUCUUCUAAGUUCUUCAACUUCAAAUAUCAACACCUAUCCCCAUUGGAAUAUCACAUAACAAGUUACAAUAUAUUUAGGAGACAAAAGUAAAAGACCAGUAAUGGAGAUGAAAAUAUUUGUUGGCUUUUGCUUCUUCUUCAUUAUUCUCGUAAUUGCUGAAGAAGCAGUGGUGCAAAAUGAGGCUUGUGAAAAACAGAGUGAAUGGUUCACCGGUGAUCAAUGCGUUGGUUUUAUAUUUAGCAGCCUCGUAUGUGACUAUUAUUGCAGGGACAAAGACAAUUUACUCCAUGGUACCUGCAUAAAUAAGAAAUGCAUUUGUUCAUGCUGAACGUUUCCAUUGUGAGAUACUACUACUAGUAUACUGUAUACUAUAAUUUUGUUCAUGUAUAGCUAGUUUAAUUUCCAUGAAAUAAUUCAUGAAAUGAUGAAUAAGUCAUUAUUAUUACACUU